UACAGAGGUCCCAAGCGUUACUGAGAAUCACUGGGUUUAAAGGGUGCGUAGGUGGUCCGUUAAGUCAGUUGUGAAAUCCCCGGGCUCAACCCGGGAACUGCUUCUGAUACUGGCGGACUUGAGGCCAGUAGGGGUCACUAGAACUGACGGUGGAGCGGUGAAAUGCGUAGAUAUCGGGAGGAACACCGGUGGCGAAGGCGGUUCUCUGGGCCUUACCUGACGCUGAGGAGCGAAAGCGUGGGGAGCGAACAGG
rnacentral:rRNA from 1 species